rnacentral:SRP_RNA from 1 species
CUAUGCCGAUCGGGUGUCCGCACUAAGUUCGGCAUCAACAUGGUGACCUCCCGGGAGCGGGGGGCCACCAGGUUGCCUAAGGAGGGGUGAACCGGCCCAGGUCGGAGACGGAGCAGGUCAAAGCUCCCGUGCUGAUCAGUAGUGGGAUCGCGCCUGUGAAUAG